rfam:Felis catus isolate Cinnamon breed Abyssinian chromosome D3, whole genome shotgun sequence.
GCCUGGGUGGCUCAGUUGGUUGAGCGCCCAACUUCAGCUCAGGUCAUGAUCUCACAGUUCAUGGGUUCGAGCCCCACAUCAGGCU